CGACACAUGGAGAGACGCAGAAAGGAAUGGAGACACCUGGAGGAGUUCUGUUCCUGGAUUCCAGUUGCUUCUGCAUCACGUGUCCUUGCUCUUUCUCAGCUGGAACCAGCUUGGUUCCAGGAACACCCUGUCCCAAGUAAUCAUCUGACCAGGCUUAAAAAUACAAAGUGGGUUCUACAUUGUAAGUUACCUUGCAGUGGCAGAAAUGUAUGAUCUUCUUACAAGGCAAAUGGAAG
rnacentral:lncRNA from 1 species